UAAUACGGAGGGUGCAAGCGUUAAUCGGAAUUACUGGGCGUAAAGCGCACGCAGGCGGUUUGUUAAGUCAGAUGUGAAAUCCCCGGGCUCAACCUGGGAACUGCAUCUGAUACUGGCAAGCUUGAGUCUCGUAGAGGGGGGUAGAAUUCCAGGUGUAGCGGUGAAAUGCGUAGAGAUCUGGAGGAAUACCGGUGGCGAAGGCGGCCCCCUGGACGAAGACUGACGCUCAGGUGCGAAAGCGUGGGGAGCAAACAGG
rnacentral:rRNA from 1 species